AGAGCUCACGCUGAUGGGACAAGUGUUUGUGCAGGUCUCCUCUUCGUCGGUGUGGAGGGAGCAAUCAAGAAAGUCCUAGGUCCACUGAUGGUCCACAGCGGCUUGUGUGGUGUCUGUGGCCUUCUUGUGGUGGAGAAGAGAUGACACCUCUUGUGGUGUCGAGUCUGACCCGGAAGAAGACCCAGACGCCCGAGGCCCCGUGCUGAGGGCCUACGAUGCGACCAGGACAGAUGGGACCUGCUGGGGAGCCCAAAGGAAGGAAGAAGCAAAGAAAGAAACGUGCAGCCGUGAUCCCGGCCCCCACGCCUGCAGCAGGACAGAGCAGCCUCUCGGACGGGAGCGGACCAGGCCUGGCAGCGCCGCGGGAGAACUGAGAUAAGGACCGCCUAAUAGCAUUGUGUGUCUGCCGUCUGUGGGGUGCGGAGCUGGGGCAAGGGCAG